rnacentral:rRNA from 1 species
UACGUAGGGUCCGAGCGUUGUCCGGAAUCACUGGGCGUAAAGAGCUCGUAGGUGGUUUGUCGCGUUGUUCGUGAAAACUCACAGCUCAACUGUGGGCGUGCGGGCGAUACGGGCAGACUAGAGUACUGCAGGGGAGACUGGAAUUCCUGGUGUAGCGGUGGAAUGCGCAGAUAUCAGGAGGAACACCGGUGGCGAAGGCGGGUCUCUGGGCAGUAACUGACGCUGAGGAGCGAAAGCGUGGGGAGCGAACGGG